UUUUAUGGAGAGUUUGAUCCUGGCUCAGGACGAACGCUGGCUGCGUGCUUAACACAUGCAAGUCGAACGCUGAAGCCUGGUGCUUGCACCGGGUGGAUGAGUGGCGAACGGGUGAGUAACACGUGAGUAACCUGCCCCUGACUUCGGGAUAAGCCCGGGAAACUGGGUCUAAUACCGGAUACGACCGUCGGACGCAUGUCUGGUGGUGGAAAGUUUUUUCGGUUGGGGAUGGGCUCGCGGCCUAUCAGUUUGUUGGUGAGGUAAUGGCUCACCAAGACGACGACGGGUAGCCGGCCUGAGAGGGCGACCGGCCACACUGGGACUGAGACACGGCCCAGACUCCUACGGGAGGCAGCAGUGGGGAAUAUUGCACAAUGGGGGAAACCCUGAUGCAGCGACGCAGCGUGCGGGAUGACGGCCUUCGGGUUGUAAACCGCUUUCAGCAGGGAAGAAGCGCAAGUGACGGUACCUGCAGAAGAAGUACCGGCUAACUACGUGCCAGCAGCCGCGGUAAUACGUAGGGUACGAGCGUUGUCCGGAAUUAUUGGGCGUAAAGAGCUCGUAGGUGGUUGGUCACGUCUGCUGUGGAAACGCAACGCUUAACGUUGCGCGUGCAGUGGGUACGGGCUGACUAGAGUGCAGUAGGGGAGUCUGGAAUUCCUGGUGUAGCGGUGAAAUGCGCAGAUAUCAGGAGGAACACCGGUGGCGAAGGCGGGACUCUGGGCUGUAACUGACACUGAGGAGCGAAAGCAUGGGGAGCGAACAGGAUUAGAUACCCUGGUAGUCCAUGCCGUAAACGUUGGGCACUAGGUGUGGGGGGCAUUCCACGUUCUCCGCGCCGUAGCUAACGCAUUAAGUGCCCCGCCUGGGGAGUACGGUCGCAAGGCUAAAACUCAAAGGAAUUGACGGGGGCCCGCACAAGCGGCGGAGCAUGCGGAUUAAUUCGAUGCAACGCGAAGAACCUUACCAAGGCUUGACAUACACCAGACCGUCCUGGAAACAGGUCCUCUUCUUUGAAGCUGGUGUACAGGUGGUGCAUGGUUGUCGUCAGCUCGUGUCGUGAGAUGUUGGGUUAAGUCCCGCAACGAGCGCAACCCUCGUUCUAUGUUGCCAGCACGUGAUGGUGGGAACUCAUAGGAGACUGCCGGGGUCAACUCGGAGGAAGGUGGGGAUGACGUCAAAUCAUCAUGCCCUUUAUGUCUUGGGCUUCACGCAUGCUACAAUGGCUGGUACAGAGAGAGGCGAACCCGUGAGGGCAAGCGAAUCCCUUAAAGCCAGUCUCAGUUCGGAUCGUAGUCUGCAAUUCGACUACGUGAAGUCGGAGUCGCUAGUAAUCGCAGAUCAGCAACGCUGCGGUGAAUACGUUCCCGGGCCUUGUACACACCGCCCGUCAAGUCACGAAAGUCGGUAACACCCGAAGCCGGUGGCCUAACCCCUUGUGGGAGGGGGCCGUCUAAGGUGGGACUGGUGAUUGGGACUAAGUCGUAACAAGGUAGCCGUACCGGAAGGUGCGGCUGGAUCACCUCCUUUCUAAGGA
rnacentral:rRNA from 1 species